GAGGUGCUUUGCACCUAGUGGCGAACGGGUGAGUAACACGUAUCGAACCUACCUUUUAGUGGGGGAUAACAGUUGGAAACGACUGCUAAUACCGCAUACGACACCAUUAUGGCAUCAGAAGGUGUUAAAAGGCCCGUUUGGGUCGCUAGAAGAUGGGGAUGCGGCGUAUUAGCUAGUAGGUGGGGUAAUUGCCCACCUAGGCAAUGAUACGUAACCGAACUGAGAGGUUGAUCGGCCACAUUGGGACUGAAAUACGGCCCACACUCCUACGGGAGGCAGCAGUAGGGAAUUUUUCACAAUGGACGAAAGUCUGAUGAAGCAAUGCCGCGUGAGUGAUGACGGUCUUCGGAUUGUAAAGCUCUGUUGUAAGGGAAGAAUAGGUAAAAGAGGAAAUGCUUUUAUUUUGACGGAACCUUACCAGAAAGCCACGGCUAACUAUGUGCCCGCAGCCGCGGUAAUACAUAGGUGGCAAGCGUUAAUCCGGAUUUAUUGGGGGGUACAGGGUGCGUAGGCGGUUCGAUAAGUUUGAGGGUUAAAUCCCGGGGCUCAACCCCCGGUUCGCCUUGAAAACUGUUCUUACAAGAAAGACAGAGAG
rnacentral:rRNA from 1 species